UCUCCAUGAACGCUCCCACUAAAUUCCGAGGGCAUUUUCACGUGUGAGACUUAACUCGCCUGCAAAAGUAUUCCUAGAACUAGGCCUCGUUUGAACUAUCCGUGGCAGCCUGAGUUUAACUGCCUCAUCUAAAAACCAGUUGUUACCCACACAUUGCAUCCCAAACUGCUGCAGCACCACCACACUACCUACUCAGUGACCGCAGAGCGUCCCAGCAGAGCCCUGAGACAAGUUUCCCUCUUCUGUGUUGCUUUUCACACCACCUAUUAUAAUAACAGCAAGUUACAACAUCACCAAUGCACAGGGGCAUUACUCAUCCAGAGGGGAAGGUGUCCUAAAUCCCCAAGACGAUUGGCACAGCACACGCAAGAGGAAAUCUCAGCGCUCAGCCAAUGCCAGGCAAUGAAGGAUCCUCUCUGGGAGUUGGUUAGUAGUGCCAAUGUUUGAUAUUUGUCGUAACAACCACUGACUGUUUUGUUUUUUGUUCUAACAAUGUGAAUUAUGCAUUAAACAUUAAUACAAGUGAGUGUACUUUC